AUUGAACGCUGGCGGCAGGCCUAACACAUGCAAGUCGAACGAGUGGCGGACGGGUGAGUAAUGUCUGGGAAACUGCCCGAUGGCGGGGGAUAACUACUGGAAACGGUAGCUAAUACCGCAUACCAUCGGAUGUUCCCCGAUGGGAUUAGCUAGUAGGUGGGGUAACGGCUCACCUAGGCGACGAUCCCUAGCUGGUCUGAGAGGAUGACCAGACACACUGGACCGGAGACACGGUCCAGAAUCCGACGGGAGGCAGCAGUGGGGAAUAGUGCACAAUGGGCGCAAGCCUGAUGCAGCCAUGCCGAGUGUAUGAAGAAGGCCUUCGGGUUGUAAAGUACUUUCAGCGAGGAGGCGUUACUCGCAGAAGAAGCACCGGCUAACUCCGUGCCAGCAGCCGCGGUAAUUC
rnacentral:rRNA from 1 species